CAUUCCAGCAGGAACCUGCCGCUCAGCUAUCAAAGGGCCCUUCUUCUUCCCGGCGUGCGGGAUUCCAGACGGCACCACGCUGGGCGGGAUCCGGGCAGGCCCCGGGCAGCAUGGGCACCAAGCACCAGCAUGCCUAUUGCAGGCAGUUUGCACCCACGCUGCACUGAGAGACGCAACACACCAGAAGCGGCGCAAGGGGCCUGUGUGUGUGGACUGGUCGGAGACAUCCAGGCUGAAAGGGCCCGUUCUGACCAUCCAGUCUGCCCUGCCGCAUGGCACAGUCCAGACUCCCCCAGGCUUCCUGGGCAGAGCCCUCGGGUGAGGGGACGCUUGGCCCUCGGGGGAGCAGCUCCUCUUUGGGGCGUCGCUGGAGUCAGUCAGGAAUGAGGGUGAGCGUAACCACAAUGAGCCGCUUGGAAACUGGCCGAAGAGCAGCCUGUGUGUGGACACUGAGUCUAGCCAUGUCUUGGGCUGCCAAGGUGAGAGGGGCCCAUUAGGACCAGCCGAGCUGACUGGCCCCGCUGCCUUGCCCAGGCCACCAGCCCCAGCCAGGGGUUCCUGCAGCCGCACUUCUGGGAGAGCCAGUGGAGCUUUAGAAGGAGACACCAAGUCUUGGUUUCAACAAACCUCCCAGCAAUGGUGAAUCUGGAUCAUUGAUAAAGACAGUGCUGCCCUUUCUCGACUCAAGCAGCCAGUCAGAUUUUGGGGUCCUGGGGAUGUUCUGGCUGGAAGAAAUGGACACGGUCUGGUGUUCUCUGUGUUUAUUUACAAGCAAUGUACAAAGUCCUGCUUCCCUGAACACAAGAGGAACCAAGAUCAAAAGGAGCAGCUUCUUCGUUUACAGCCCCAAGCCUCUUUAGCCAGCACCAGACCCCAAAGCUCUCUUGCUUUUUCCUGGCUCACACUGUGCUCACAGGCUCCUGCUUCUCCCACUCUCUGUUCGUCUGUUCUCAAUUUCUCCAUGAGCUCCCUGCACAC